UACGGAGGGGGCUAGCGUUGUUCGGAAUUACUGGGCGUAAAGCGCACGUAGGCGGCUUUGUAAGUUAGAGGUGAAAGCCCGGAGCUCAACUCCGGAAUUGCCUUUAAGACUGCAUCGCUAGAAUUGUGGAGAGGUGAGUGGAAUUCCGAGUGUAGAGGUGAAAUUCGUAGAUAUUCGGAAGAACACCAGUGGCGAAGGCGACUCACUGGACACAUAUUGACGCUGAGGUGCGAAGGCGUGGGGAGCAAACAGG
rnacentral:rRNA from 1 species